rnacentral:precursor_RNA from 15 species
GCAAAAGAAGACAGUGGGAGAUGGCGGGGCAAGCCCUUUUUUUUAGCAGUGAGUUAUCUUACUCAGCUACGAUUGAAGGGCUUGCUUCUUCAUCUCAAAGCACGAUGCUCUUCAU